rnacentral:rRNA from 1 species
UACAGAGGGUGCGAGCGUUAAUCGGAAUUACUGGGCGUAAAGCGCACGUAGGUGGCUUGGCAAGUCGGGUGUGAAAUCCCCGGGCUCAACCUGGGAACUGCAUUCGAGACUGCCUUGCUCGAGUAUGGGAGAGGAAGUGGAAUUCCGGUGUAGCGGUGAAAUGCGUAGAUAUCGGAAGGAACAUCAGUGGCGAAGGCGACUUCCUGGACCAAUACUGACACUCAGGUGCGAAAGCGUGGGGAGCAAACAGG